GGGCGAUUAGCUCAGUUGGUAGAGGGAGGGGGUCGGCGGUUCGAGCCCGUCAUCGCCCACCA
rnacentral:tRNA from 1 species